rnacentral:tRNA from 1 species
AUUUAUAUAGUUUAAAAAAACAUUAUAUUUUCAAUAUAAAAAUAAAAUUAUUUAAUUUUUAUAAAUA